UCCCUGGAAGUUAGAGAGGAGCUAGAGAACCCUCCUGGGGUUGGGGGCAGGAACCUGGGACAAAGGCAUCGGGUGGAGGCAAGAGAGAGGGUUCCUUUCUCUCUUUUGGAUCAAGAUAUGCUUGUGGGAUAAAACCUGAGGAAGCAGAAUUUAGAAGUAGCCUUGCUCAGGCCCAGCCAGGCAAAGAGAGCCAGCGGCCGAGGCCAGACUUACUCAGCACAUGAUCGGAUGGCCCAAAACAGAUCUCCCGGGAUGGACUUGCCCUGGACGGUGCCCACCAGUGUGGAAAUGAGGUCAGCCUCUGUCCAGCCAGAGUCCAAGUCCCAGGAAGCGGCGGCAACCCCAUCACUGGCCAGCCAGCCAGAGGGGCCACAGCGCAUCACACACAGAACCGCCGUGAAGACACACAGGUGUGCACGGACUUCUUCAUGACUUUAGGAUGUGGUCACGCUCACCAUACCUGGGUGGAUGCCAGGAGCUGGCCCUAGUGAUGUUUGCAUUUGAACAACAGUGAGAUUGGGGGUCAGCUGCCCCAGGGGCGCCGAGGAAGAUGAAGAAAUGGAGCAGGCUGUCUCCAGGCAAAGGAGGAGAGAAGGGCAGAAUCCGGAUGGUAUGGAAUGAACAGCAAGGGAGGGAAGCGGAAAGGGGAACUGGGAUUUGCUACUGCUCUAUCAAAUUACAGUGUGCAAAGCUAGCUCCAGGUGGUGGGCUCCUGAGUGUCACCGCCAGGGUACAAACCUCAGUUGUGCCCUCUACUUACUGUGUGACCAUGUGUGAAUGGGCAAACUCUGUGAACUUGAGUUUGCCUCUCAGCAAAACAGUACCUACUUCCUGGGACUGUCAGGGGCACUGAAUGAGAUGACAAGCGACCCUUAGCCCAGCACCUGGUACACAGCAAACACUCCAUCCAAUCCGGACAUGAUUAUCAUUCUACCAGAACUUCUGUGAAAUUUGGUUACAGGUCUGCACUCCUGAGCGAUGAAAGGGCACAGGCCUUAGAAAUAAGAAGACCCAGGUUGAAAAAUGGCUCUGCCACCUAUGACGACCACCUUCUUGAGUUUUCUGGGCCUCAGGCUCCCCCUGGAAAAUGGAGAUAAAGUAAACAACCGCAGAGGACUGCAGUGAGAAAUGAAGCACACAGUGUUUGUAAAGUGCUUGGAGCAGCACUGGCCUGUCCCCCACUAGGUGAGGCCACAGCAAGGAGAUAGUCAUCUGCAACACAGGAAGAGGAGCUCCACCAUAACCUGCUCAUGCUGGCCCCUUGAUCUCAGGUGUCCAGCCCCCAGAACUACGAGAAAUAAAUGACUGAUGAGCAAGCUUCCCCCUCCCCGCCCCCGCCAUCUGUGGCAUUUUAUUAUGGGAGCCUGGACUCAUACAGGCGUUAUAUGAUUAGAACUGACAGACACCGAAGCCGGCUGAUUCAAGGGCGAGGUCCAGGCUGGAGAUACAAACCCAGGAGGCCUCAGCACGCAGACAAGUUAGUACAACAAAAGGGGAGUAAUAUACUUCCUACCUCACAGGUGGCUGUGAGGACUGAAAUAGAUACUUCACAUGGCCUGCUUAGCACUGUGGUAGGGCACGUAUGAAAGCUUGGUAAAUGGGACUGUUACCUGCAGAAGAUCACACAAGGAUAUGCUCUUGGAAUCACAGAAUUUUGGAUAGAUUCUCUAGCUCAAAAACCUUAAUUUGUAGCUAGGGAAACUAAGCUAAGCCAAGAUUAUUGACUUGCCUGGCAUUUUUCUACCAUUAACGAUUGUUUUUUUUUUAAGAUUUACAGACCCAGCCAUAAAGGAGGAAGGUGAAGUUUAACCGUACCUUGAUAUUCAAUUAGAAAGAAGGGUACCAAUAAACCUUGGAAAUGUCAACGCCAAA